GAAGACCCCCUACAUGUUCCGUUGCAGUCCUAGUACAGGAUGAUCCAGCGUUACUGGAAUAUUUCUGCCAUACGACUUCUGAGGAGGAAGACUGACAAUAUGACGGUGAGCCACCGCCAUUUACAUGACUUCAAGGUUAACACGUGAGGAGCGGAAAUAAAUUGUGUUGAU